rnacentral:rRNA from 1 species
GCCGGGUAAUAAACCGGAGGAAGUGGGGAUGACGUCAAUCAUCAUGCCCCUUAUGACCUGGGCUACACACGUGCUACAAUGGUUGGUACAACGAGUUGCGAGUCGGUGACGGCGAGCUAAUCUCUUAAAGCCAAUCUCAGUUCGGAUUGUAGGCUGCAACUCGCCUACAUGAAGUCGGAAUCGCUAGUAAUCGCGGAUCAGCACGCCGCGGUGAGUACGUUCCCGGGCCUU